AAAGAUCCAAAAAGAAGAGUGACUAAGUAUAUGCUUUUGUUUUCAGACUAAAACUAAAAUAAGUCACUAGCUGACCGCAUAAUGAUUUUAAACAGGCUAAAUAUAGCAAGGCCAAACCCAAGACAUACAACUAUAUUCAAAAUCGAUAUCCCUAAAUUGUAAUGAGGAAAAGUUUUAUGUUUCACAUGCACUGAUUCUGCGUGGAAAGUAACGGUUGGUCUAUUGCGUUUCUUUUGCCGUUAAUGCAUAAAAACCUCUACAUAGGACUGCAGAAAUAAAAGAAGGCCAGCCGCCAGCAGAAACUCAUUAAAGACUGCAGUUUCUCUAAAGGAGAGUGAUCAGAAGCGAAUUGUGAGGAAGCUCAGGCGAGAACAGGUGGGUCGGCCGUCCUGUUCUGCCCCGAGCCUUGGAGUCAGCGAUGUCCUUCACAACGCCGCAUCCCAGUACGAUCUCUCUAACUUCAAACGGACUCUUCAUGGGCACCCAUCCACACACCCCCC